rnacentral:RNase_P_RNA from 1 species
AGUAGUUAUUGAUGCUAUCGCUUUAUUUAAUUAUAAAGAGGAAAGUCCGGACACCAUAGAGCAGCAUAGUGGGUAACACCCAUCGUGUUAAAAUACGGACAAGUGCAACAGAAAGAAAGUACAGUUUGGCUGUAGUGAAAUCAGGUAAACUCUAUGCGGUGCAAUACCAUGUAUAUCAGGAUUUAAAGGUUGCUCGCCUUUUCUUGAGGGGUAGGUAGCUUGAAGUAAUAGGUAACUAUUACUCUAGAUAAAUGAUGGCACUCUUUUUGAGAACAGAAUCCGGCUUAUGUAUAAUUACUAUUU